CAAAAUGAUAUUAAACAAAUGGCGCGCACUACAUCUUGAUUUUAAGUCUUCUGUCUGGUUUUAAGUGUUCUGCAAACAAACAGCAACAAAGAUUGUAUGGUAUGUACGAUGUAAUAAUUGUGUUACUGUUUAUUUUAUAUACAGGUCUGGAAAAUUUAAUAGAUGAGAGUUGCAAAACUUGCAAAUCUCGCUCAUAUAACCAUGUUUUUCGUUUGAUAGCCGAUAUAAUUAUAACUAGGAGCUAGAGUAUAACCAUGCACAUGUCGAGGUACAACCAUUGUAUACAAUGCAGUGCUCGAUCUACAUGUAACAGUGCACAAAUUGCAGGAUGACCUCAUUAUAUACUCGUACUCAUUGACUCUCAUUAUCAUAGUCUCCUACUGUUGUUAAGUUUUAACAGCAAUUAAGCUUUGAGAAGCCAUGUAUAUUAUAGACUAAUUUGUAGCCUAGCCCCCAUAGUCCAUAUAAAUAAAUUGUAGCCCAGCCUCCACAUUUUACACCAAUAAUUAAAUAAAUUAACCAGUAACUCAAUUUUGUUGCUGGUAGUGUAAUGGAAUCUAUGAGUCUUUCAUAUCCCAGAAAUUGCCUAAUUAUUGUAGAGUCUGCAUAGGCUCUGUUUUUAUUAAUGACCGGAGCCUAUUGAGUGACUAAAUAUUGUCAGCCUAAUCCACUUAUUUGAUUUAUCCAUGUUGCAUUACUUUUUAUAGCAAAACACCUGGAUUAUACAUGAUUUGCCAGCAAAAUAGCAGCAAUUGAUAAACUUGAGUAAAUAGACUGAAUGUAUCAAACGGAAUAAGCAAUUAUUGGAUGAGGCUGAGCAUGAUAUCAAGAAUUAUUCAGACCGAGGUCUAUGUUAUCUGCCGAAGCGAAGCUGAGGCGGAUAACAUAGACCGAGGUCUGAAUAAUUCUUGAUAUCAUGCGAAAGCCGAAUCCAAUAAUUGUUUUAUUAUACAUUUAAAGACAUGAGAAACGUAUAAAACGCUUCCUGUUCAUGAGGUAGGAAAAGUACAAUUUGAAUAUCAAUACCUUGCACAAAGUCAAAGGUCAGCUAAAUAUUCUAUUUCUACUUCUAUUUACCCCUUUGUGGCUUUUUUCGUGCUUUCACUAUCCUUAUCUGCCAAUACAAUAAUUUGGAGAGUUCACUUUCAUUCAGCGAAGCAAAUCUGCUGUAGGCCAUUGUUUGUUUGUUGUUUUUUUUCGCGCGCUUAUAGGUUCAAGCUUUUGGCCGCGCAAGGGUUUGGGCACGAGAGAGUCCAAUAAUUUUUUUUUUGGAUGCAAGUUCGAUCCAAAAAAACAAUUAUUGGACGCUGAUGACGUCAUCGGCGGAAAAUACGUAAUAAAUGCCGAAUACUGAAAAAUAGCUGGUGCUUUCUGACCAAUUAGAAACGAGAAUACAUAUUAAAUGUAUAAUAAUGCAUGUUAAUGCGAUUUUAAGCAUGGGCGUACAGGAAGGAAAAAAUUAGUGGGGCGGAAAGAAAUUUGCCAGACUUUUUCGCAUUAUGCACACGUUGUCAAAAAGGGGAGAAGUGAUUACGAAAAAUUCUUAUUACAUAGCAUAUUUCCCACAAAAUUGACAGAAUUUCACACAAAAUUGACAGCAUUUGUCCCAUUUAUUUUUAUAAUAAUCCAAUAUUGCCCGACUGUGAAGCGAAUAUUUCCCGGCUGGCUUUGUUUGCCCAACAAAGCCAGGCGGGCNNNNNNNNNNNNNNNNNNNNNNNNNNNNNNNNNNNNNNNNNNNACCCCCCCCCCCCCCCCGCCCAGUACGUCCAUGAUUUUAAGCAAUUUUAGGUAAAAAGUAGGCCUUACAUUGGUAUCGAAGGAAAUAUCACAAAUAUCAUUAUUAUAUUAUUACUUUAAAUACUUCACGUUCGGAAAAUACAAUUGUUUUGUCAGCAAGGCGAGGGUUUCUGCAUGCAUGUAUUUUCUAGUAUGUUAUGACCCCGUCCAAAAAAGCUGGAGUAAAAGUUUUCAAUAUAAUGUUUAAGAAAUAAAGUCCUUCGAUAAUCGUUCAUUCAAUUGACAUUUAUGUAAUUCAAAAUUUCAUUCCAUUUCUCUAUAUUUUAACUUUGAAGGUUGUGCAUACAUAUCCUGACGGACUCCACGAUAAAGUUUUUCAUUGCCGCUUCCCAGCAAAAAUGAAGUUGCCAUGGAGAUCUUAUCGGUGUCAAUUUAAGUUGAUUUUAAAAGACCAACAGGUGAUUCAUGUCAAUUAAAUUCAUUUCUAAAGGAACAACAAGUAACUCUCGUGCGUUUAAUUAAAUUGUUUUAACAAACUCCUUCGUUAAUAUUCAAUCUGUAUUUUUAAGCUAACUUGUUCAGUUCGGCACUUUAAAUCGUAUGGAAUCUAAAAUCAACAAUUCUGAUUGCCGCACUAUCGUUAUCGGCUAAAAUAAUUGACGCAGCCGACCCCUUCCUUUAGCGUCAAAUAUACCACAGUUAACUUGCGUUUCGUGCGGUUUCUGGUCGCAGUUCGUGCAGUAAUGCGUCAAAAUGUUGUGAAUGUUGAUUGGUUAGUACUUCCGUAGUACGCCAAAAAGUUGACUUGCGACGAACUUUGUAUUUUGAUACGCGAAUACACCCAGAAGUACGUGGAUUUAUAAACCUCUUUUCAAUCUGCGCAUGCUCAUUAGUACGUUUCGGUACGAUACGGACAAGUGGAAAACCGGCUUAAAGUCAUUCAUCGUGCGGUUCGAAAUAGUUAUAUAGUGUUCUGAGGUCUGCGCGUAGAUGAACACAAAAAUGAUAAUCCUGAUAGCGACAUGUACCGCCAUAGUCGAUAAAAUAGCAUCUCGAUAACAUAUUUUAGAAUUGCAUGCAGUAUUGAUUCAUAAUUUAGCAUGCCCAUUGAGUUACAGCAGUCUACAGCAGUUUUCAGACAGUUUAGUUCAUUUAUUAUUGCGGCUCAAUUAUUUGCACAAGCGCCAAAACUAACGAGGAGGUUGAUUACAACGAAAUAUUUUAAGUAGAAUGUAUCGAUAAGCUUUUCUGUAUUUGAUAUGUCUCAAUCCAUAUAUGAAAGAAUUCACGAUCGAGUUUAUUCCAUAAAGUUCAUAGUGGAACACUACAUACCACAUCUGUUGACAUGACUCACUACAAUUAGUGUAGUAUAGCACCGGUCCAACCACAGUUGGAGUGAGGACACAGAAAGCCAACACUGCAACAACAAUAGAAAAUGUUUUAACUGCUUUAACAGCGCGAAAAAAUCCAUGUAUAGCAGACAUUUUGUUUGCAGGUUGUCCGUUGGAUGUUGUAGCGGGUACCACUGUUUCAGCCAAGAUACGUUUUCGUUGCUUCCCAGCAACAAUUAAAAUCCAGAUAUUAAGAAUUAAUAUUAAAGUAAGUGGUAAGUAGCCAACAAAAUUAUUCAUCACAAGUUGAUAUAUAUAAUUAUUCACGUAGCAAUAGCUUCUUAAUCUGAAAUAAUAUCUUUCAAUAUAAACUAGAAGAACAAUGAGCAGACAGCAGGCAGUCAUCCAAAUUCCCGCAACAGCUAGAAAAACUCGUCGUUUGGUCACAAUCAGCGGAUACUUCAGAGGUUUGACAAUAAAUAAAUACCGAUCAACAGUAAUGGCGAGAAGUGUAGUCACUGAAGCGAACAUCAAUGCCCAGAUGGUAGAACGACUUAACUUGCAAAACAUUCCCUGAUCACUAUCAAUGCUUAACAUAAUCUGUAUAAACUCAAUGAUCCAUAUUGGAUAUAAUGUUAAACACACGAGAAGAUCUGCCAGUGCCAAGUUUCCUACCAAGUAAGAUGUCGGUGUCUUUUCUUUGUUCAAGACAAUUGUAUAAAUUAUAACUGUGAUAUUUCCCAAAACGCCAGUACUCAUCGCGAUGAAUUUAAAUACAACUGAAAACAGUAGAACCUCGCUUGGAAAUUCGAGGAAAGGGCGAAAAGGCAUAGUUGUAUUUGUUAAGUUGUUUACCAUAGUUAUCCCUUAUGUGAAUAUAAUGACAAGAAUGCUUUCAAUUUUGAAAUUCUUUAAAAUAUUCCGUGGGAUAUCUGUUGCGAGCGGACGAGAAAAUAAUCAAAGC
rnacentral:lncRNA from 1 species